CCUACGCGCGGCAGCAGUGAGGAAUAUUGGUCAAUGGACGAGAGCCUGAACCAGCCAAGUAGCGUGAAGGAAGACGGUCCUAUGGGUUGUAAACCUCUUUUGUCUGGGAUCAAAAGACGCCACGCGUGGCAUUCCGAGAGUACCCGAUGAACAAGCAUCGGCUAACUCCGUGCCAGCAGCCGCGGUAAUACGGAGGAGACGAGCGUUAUCCGGAUUUAUUGGGUUUAAAGGGUGCGCAGGCGGAUGAUCAAGUCGGUGGUAAAAUUUAGGGGCGAACCCUCUACGAGCCGUUGAAACUGGUUGUCUUGAGUGCGGGAGAGGUAGGCGGAAUGCGUGGUGUAGCGGUGAAAUGCAUAGAUAUCACGAAGAACUCCGAUUGCGAAGGCAGUUCACUGGACUGCAACUGACACUGAGGCUCGAAAGUGUGGGUAUCAAACAGGAUUAGAUACCCGAGUAGUC
rnacentral:rRNA from 1 species